rnacentral:lncRNA from 1 species
AGCAGUAGCCAUUAACCCCCAAUUGCUGGGGUUUCAUUUGGCUAACAGCCAAUGAGCCAAUAUUUUGAUUAGUGGCCAACGACGUGCAAUUAACAACCCGAUCUUUGCCCGUGAAAAUCGCAACCAUGGAGAUCUGGUAAACCAAUCCCUCUCAUUUCCCUUUUUUUAAUAAAAAAACUUCAAAUCGUAUUUUGCUUCUUUAAAAACCAAACAAAACAGAGAAAAAAAUAAAAAUUGAAGAAUACAUUCGACCCUCGCCCGAGUCUCUUCAUUUCAGAGAUAUUUGGGUUUUUAUCGGUGUCAAUUCAUAUACUAAAAGAAAUCUAGCCCACCAAGAAAAUAAAUCGAAAAAGAAAGAGGAAAAAAAACUCGAGAUCACCUUUAAUAUUUUUUAUUUCUUUUUUUCUAUUCUGUGUGUAUGCGUAAACGUAUAGUGUGUGUAAGUCCUCUUAGAGUACAUUCAACGGCUUUUUAUAGACGAAUUUACAGAAUAAAGUAAAAAAUUAAAUUAAAUUUUCAUUGCUAUCAUUUGCUGUGAAUUCGGUUAUCUCUUUCUUCUCGUGUGUUCUUUGCAGGAACGGCCUUACGGAGGAGCGGGGAAAGGUGCACGUGAAAGAGGCCAUGCGGGGAAAUCGUUCGUGGGAGCCCGACCCCCUGGCACUGUUUUGGCAUGUUCCAGAAGCUUCUAGUGCUCCCGGCUGUUGAGAUUCCCCUUUUGGGUUCCGGAUUUGGGCUAGGUUUAGGAUAUGGUUGUAGCGACGUAAAAUUUUGCUUCCGGUCGCUAAUUGAGGCGAUUAAAAAAAUUUGAAAAUGGAAUUUCAAUUUUUUAAAAAAAGAGGGAGUCGCCACCGAUCUUUUCUAGGUGUGAUCGGACACCUGAUAAAUCAUCUUUUCAGAAAAGAAAAUUUAUUCUUGAACAAAAUGAAGGCUGAAUUUGGGUCUACGCGAAAAUCAAGAGAAAAAUAGGGUUCGGGAGUCGAUUACACACGAGGAAGGUAUUAGCACCCUCGUAACGCCCAAAAUUGGUAUCUCAUUAAACAUG